rnacentral:piRNA from 1 species
UCGGACCCUCUUCACCUUGUC